rnacentral:rRNA from 1 species
GAUGAACGCUGACAGAAUGCUUAACACAUGCAAGUCAACUUGAACUUCGGUUUGGGUGGCGGACGGGUGAGUCACGCGUAAAGAACUUGCCUCACAGAUAGGGACAACAUUUGGAAACGAAUGCUAAUACCUGAUAUUAUGAUUAUAUGGCAUCGUAUAAUUAUGAAAGCUAUAUGCGCUGUGAGAGAGCUUUGCGUCCCAUUAGCUAGUUGGAGAGGUAACGGCUCACCAAGGCGAUGAUGGGUAGCCGGCCUGAGAGGGUGAUCGGCCACAAGGGGACUGAGACACGGCCCUUACUCCUACGGGAGGCAGCAGUGGGGAAUAUUGGACAAUGGACCAGGAGUCUGAUCCAGCAAUUCUGUGUGCACGAUGAAGUUUUUCGGAAUGUAAAGUGCUUUCAGUUGGGAAGAAAAAAAUGACGGUACCAACAGAAGAAGUGACGGCUAAAUACGUG